rnacentral:lncRNA from 1 species
CAGGUACCCCCAGGUACCCCCAGGUGUGUCCCAGGUACCCCCAGGUGUCCCCAGGUGUGUCCCAGGUGUGUCCAGGUGUGUCUCAGGUACCCCCAGGUGUCCCCAGGUGUGUCCCAGGUACCCCCAGGUGUCCCCAGGUGUCCCCAGGUGUGUCCAGGUGUGUCCCAGGUGUCCCCAGGUGUGUCCCAGGUGUCCUCAGGUAUCCUCAGGUGUGUCCCAGGUGUGUCCAGGUGUGUCUCAGGUACCCUCAGGUGUCCCCAGGUGUGUCCCAGGUACCCCCAGGUGUGUCUAGGUGUGUCCAAGCGUCCCCAGGUGUGUCCCAGGUGUCCUCAGGUGUGUCCCAGGUGUGUCCAGGUGUGUCCAGGUGUGUCUCAGGUACCCCCAGGUGUCCCCAGGUGUGCCCCAGGUGUGUCCCAGGUGUCCCCAGGUGUGUCCCAGGUACCCCCAGGUCUGUCCAGGUGUGUCCCACAUGUACCCCAGGUACCCCCAGGUGUGUCCAGGUGUCCCCAGGUGUCCCCAGGUGUCCCCAGGUGUAUCUCAGGUGUAUCCCAGGUGUAUCUCAGGUGUCCCCAGGUGUGUCCAGGUGUGUCCCAGGUGUCCCCAGGUGUCCCCAGGUGUGUCCCAGGUGUGUCUCAGGUGUCCCCAGGUGUCCCCAGGUGACCCCAGGUGUAUCUCAGCUGUCCCCAGGUGUCCCCAGGUGACCCCAGGUGUAUCCCAGGUGUGCCCAGGUGUGUCCCCAGGUGCACUCACCUGUCCCAGCAGCUCCUGCAGUCUCCUCCUGAGCGCUCCGUUGUCCCUGCGCAGCCGCUCGUUCUCGGCCAGC